UUGUGUCAGUUACUGUUUGCUGCUAUGUAUAUUGGAUUGGGUGAAGCGCUACCGUCAGUAUGCAACAGUCGAAUGGUAGAAAUUCAAAACAAAAUCGGUCCUGGUCAGACUCUGAUAUUUCACUGUUCAUAUCCUAUUAUCCGACGCGGAGUUUUAAAAUUUAAUGAGAAACAACAAUAUGAAACCCGUGAGGGAAAAGCAAGAUCUUGGAUAUGUGUGAUGUAUAAACAAGGACCUCAAGGACCUCAAACUGAUCGUUAUAGUGUUAUGUUUAGACGAGA
rnacentral:lncRNA from 1 species